rnacentral:rRNA from 1 species
UACGUAGGGUGCAAUCGUUGUCCGGAAUUAUUGGGCGUAAAGAGCUCGUAGGCGGUCUGUCGCGUCGGCUGUGAAAACCCGGAGCUCAACUCCGGGCCUGCAGUCGAUACGGGCGGACUAGAGUUCGGCAGGGGAGACUGGAAUUCCUGGUGUAGCGGUGAAAUGCGCAGAUAUCAGGAGGAACACCGGUGGCGAAGGCGGGUCUCUGGGCCGAUACUGACGCUGAGGAGCGAAAGCGUGGGGAGCGAACAGG